ensembl:lncRNA
CACCAAUCACCCAUCAAGCUGUGUUCUGAGAGUGCUCAGAGAGAGGUGAGGAGCAGCGUGAUCAGACAGAACACAAAGCAGAGCGAUGUGAAGACCCACGUCGGGUGAAGAUAUCCUCACUCCCUCUCCCACUGAGCUCAAUAAACCAGUUUGUUCCUCUACACCGAGCGUCCUGCUCUGACCGGCCCGCCUCAUGUUUUGGAACUGCCACACUGUUCUCCGCGUUAUGGGGCGACUUUACCUCCCUUGGCCUUAACUCGAGGACCCUAUACACAAGCUCAAGAAGACAACGAAGAAGAAGAAGAAGAAGAAGAGUUUGGAACUUCAGGCUGGUGGAAGAGGCAAGUUUCCUACAUGCAGUUCGGUCCACAUCCAAAAGAGGGCAGUGUGGAACACGUCAUCUCCAGGGAGCCGGGGAGAGGCGGUGGAUCCACUAAGCUAACUGUUCUUAGCAAUAACGCAGACAAACACACACCUUUGCUUUCUCUCCCCUCCUCUACCCUUCCUCCACCCCUGCUU